AAGUCUCUGCAUAGAAUUGCCUUCAUUAAGGCUUUUCUAAUGAUGUCGUAAGAACGAGAAAUUCAAUGAUAUGCUUAUAAGACUUGUCUAAUGAUGUCUGAAUGGGGAAUUCUCUUGCAAGGAUGGAGGAAUAAGCAAGCAAGCUGUGAUUAACACUGUAACACUUGUCACAGUUCUAUAUAUUGCUAGUUAAUCCUCUUUGCAUAGCUCUUGAAACUCUUCCUGUUAGCGAAGGCACAUCAUUGUGCAACGCUUGAUGGGUCGAGGCUCGAGCAAGGCGAGAAAGGGAGAGAGAGAUAAGGCACCAAAGUCCAACGUGCAGACUGUAUCUUUCCCUCUUUUAAUCAGUUUCACAAGACCAAGAAAAUGGAGUAAGUGUACGUGAUCUUUCUCAGGAACCGUAAAGAAGGCAUUGUGUACAUGCGUAAGAUAGGCAUGAUUGGAGCUUUUGGGGUGUGCGUCGUCUUCAACACUCCUAUUUCCAAGUGGAUUAAUUUUUCCUUUAGAACCAAACCUCAAUUAAGCACCCACGUCUGUAGAGCACACUGAUACAAAUAUACGCAUAACACGAAUGCAUACACUAAACGUAAACAUACACACAAACGUAACUUUUGUGCUCACACUAAUACAAACAUAAAUACAUGACACGAACACAUACUCUAAAUGCAAUUGCUUAUAUUGUAUGAUGAAUGAGUGCUAAACAGAAGUUUAUGAAACUACUUACUAAGGUUUAUAGUUUAUAUAAGAGGCUUAUCAAUGAACUGUUAGAGAAGUUCAUUUCGUUUGAGGAGCGUUACAACACUCAGCUUGCAGCCCUUACCGCAAGUUGCUCCAAAAUCACGUCAGCUCAUAAUACUUAUGCUGACCGAGUCGACACUUUUACUCCAAGGACUUUGCGAACCUCAAGAUCAAGAGGGCGUUUAGAGUUUUUACGACCCUAUCCACCCGACCCUCUGAGUUUCUCAAACUACGUACUGCAAGGCCUCAGCUCCCAAAGUGUAACCGGAGGAAGUUCUCAGCAACCACCAACUGCUCAAAUACCUACCACUUCUGUAGGCUUCAAUGCUUCUAUAACCCAUUAUAGCAAACACUAAUAGAUAACUUUGAAGAAAAUCAAUAUGAUCCCAAAAGAACAAACUAUCCUGGUUUUUCUAUUCUUCAAUCCUAAUUUCCCAAGUUCAACACCAUUUUAGAUCACAUUGUUCACAUCAUAAAUAACUUUGAAAGAAACCAACAAGUUACAUUCUAAACAUUUCGUCCUUUGAAAACUCUUAAAAACACAUUAUUAAUUAAGCAUCAAAGAUUAAUCAUACAGUCACUUUACCUCACAAUUUUAGCAACAAACUCAUCAAUAUUCUUAUCAGAAUUUCCUCCAUCAGACAAAGCUUCCCUUGCAAACUCCAUCAACCUCCGAGCAUUUUUUCUAAUCUCCUUCCCUUUCUCCGACAUAUCUUCCAUAACUUCUCCAACACAUCUCACAAUCUCUUCCUUCGGAACAAACCCAUUUUGAUCUGCCUUAACCCUAACCCCAACCUUCCACACAUCUUCAAUAAACUUAGCAUUAGUCGGCUGGUCGCUAUAAGCCGGCAUUCCUAUCAAAGCAACUCCUAAGCUCAAUGCCUCUAAAGUCGAAUUCCACCCGCAAUGAGUCAUGAAACAACCGAUUGAUUUAUGUGCAAGAACUUGUAAUUGAGGACUCCAAUUCACUAUCAAUCCCUUGUCACAAAUGUCCUCUAUGUAAUUGCUUGGAAGCUUCUUUGUUUCAGUUUCUCUAACAACCCAUAAGAAGUUAUGGCCAGUUUGUUUUAGACCAGCCGCGACUUCUAUCAUUUGAUCGUCUUUUAAGACGG
rnacentral:lncRNA from 1 species